rnacentral:rRNA from 1 species
GUCUAUGACCGUACCACCCUGCAUGUGGCCAGUCUCGUCUGAUCUUGGAAGCUAAGCAGGGUCAGGCCUGGUUAGCACUUGAAUGGGAGUCUUGGGUU